rnacentral:sRNA from 1 species
CAGCGGUUGUCAUUUUGAUUUAUUUUUUAUCGAAUAAAAUGUUAAGAUGCAGUUCGUUUUGUGUCUGGUCAAUUAUUAAAGAGCCAGCAAUUAAAUAAUAACAAUCCAAUGGAAAAAAAGGCCGUAAUGCAAAUAAUAAGUUCUUUUUAAUACGAUUUACAGUUAUGAACGAUAAAUUCAGCAAGAAGAAAUAUUCUCGCCUCGUGACGAGACAUUUUCCCGAAGUAAUAAAAGCGCAUUAUACCCAUACUGGCCCCAAAAAAGAACGGAAAAAAUGAAAAAUAGCUUGGAACACAGGAAUUAAUGUUGCAACCCUUAGAAAGCCCCAAAGAAGUUGAAAUUGUGUUGAAUUCUUUGGAGAAUUCUGGUGCUGAAGUUUGGGUAAACAAAGGCACCAAAUGUGGCACGUAAACAUAAACGAAUCCAGGCUAAGGUCAGUUGAGAGACAUACGAGUAAACAAUGAGGUUGUUUUUCUACGAAACUCCAAGAAAAUUAACCUCCACAAAGGUUUCAAUUGCAUUCAAGAGUAAACAAAUUUGUGGAAUCGAAAACAAUUGAAAAUGUAUCUUUGUAGGAGGGUAAAUAGGCAAGCGAGCAGUCCAACCCAGUGGAAAGAAGUUAUUUCUAACGUGCAUGUCUUUAACUAGUUUCCUAAAUAUAACUUGUACCAUUCGCCAAGUUUCUAUUUGCCAAUCAAAAGCAAUUAUAAUGAAAUUAUAAUAAUGAGCAAUUUUAAAGGGGUA